UAACUCAGUUGGUAGAGCAUGGUGUUUGCAAUGCCAGGGUUGUGGGUUCGAUUCCCAC
rnacentral:tRNA from 1 species